rnacentral:lncRNA from 1 species
GGAAGCUUCUGAAGGUGCCUAUGGUGGUUUUAGCCUGAAGGAGGGUCGUCCAUCUGCUGGUAAUACAGGAAUUGGCUAAAACUGUACCUGGAAUUUUGUAUUAGUUAAGAGUUACAACUAGAAAUUUGUCGACACUUUGCUCCAUGUCUGAUACAGCUCGCAGUGCCACACUGCUGAUUUCUGUCAUGGGUGAUCUACCUGUUGAUGUGACUGAGGUGGCUUUGGUGGAAGCAUCGGGCGCAGUGGUUAUCAACAGUACUGUCCAAACACUCGGGCGUGAGGACUUCCUUGUAACCAUCGACAAACUUCCGCAAGGUGUGUUUUCAGUUCGUAUGAGAGGGCACACCAGUGGAAAUAGGUUUUUUGAGCGACAGUCACCCACCCAGCUUACAGCUUCCAAAGUCACAGUGAAGGCUGAGUUAUAUGACACAGUCGAGCCUGGGACCGUCUUAACUGUCCCUUUCAUGGUGACAACCAGUGGCCAAAGUGGCGAUCAUAUAAUUCGAGUCUGGAACAGCCGUGACUUUAGUACAUCUUUCCCCCAUCUGAUUUACCUGGAAACUGGAGGCAGUGCCGAGGGUAUGGUGACCAUCAGCAUUCCAUCAGAUGCCACUUCAGGCACUGAAGUGACACUGACCAUUGAAGCUCAAUCUCCCGAACAUGUCAACUCCAACUAUGCUUUGCUGCAUCUUGUUAUUGUAACUAAGACGACAGAUUUAAAGCGUCCUGUAUGUGAGGUCACAAGCAUCAAGGCUGACUGCCCUCAAGAAUGCAGCUUUAGCACAUGGGAGCUCUCUGCCAGUCUGAUGGAUGUUAAUGGAACUGGCAUCGAACGAGUGGCAAUCAAGCAAGGCAACGGUACCCUCAGCACCAGGACUACGGUCACAGGAGAGAUCUUGAUGUCCUACACUGCUUCCUGCUGCUCCGAGGUAGUGGAACUGGUGUCAGUGGAUGGUGCAGGCAAUGUGGCCACAUGCUUGGCCUCCAUCCCCAGGGCCUUUAGCGACAAUGCCAACAGCUAA